AAGUCGUAACAAGGUUUCCGUAGGUGAACCUGCGGAAGGAUCAUUAACACGUUAUCCAUACGUUAACCAACGAGAAUCGUUUUCACGCUCCCUUCACGGAGAAUGAGCGGGGUUCGUAGAGGUGUUGAAAGGGAUUGCUUCGGCAAUCAGCCUCUAUCUACUAUUUUUGUAUAACAGAAAUGUUUGCAAAGACGCUGUAUCUUUUGUGGAGAUUAAUCUCGCCAGAGCUCCCCUUUCAUUGAGAGCUGGUCGGGAACUAUAUUCACUUAUUUCACCUUUUUGCUAGUUGACUUUUAUAUGUUGAGCACUGUGCAUUGCAUUUUGUUCACACGUUUAUUAUUUGAACGUUAAAAUUACAACUCUUAGCAAUGGAUAUCUUGGUUCUC
rnacentral:misc_RNA from 1 species